UGGGGAAUAUUGCACAAUGGGCGCAAGCCUGAUGCAGCCAUGCCGCGUGUAUGAAGAAGGCCUUCGGGUUGUAAAGUACUUUCAGUCGGGAGGAAGGUGGUAAGGUUAAUAACCUUAUCAAUUGACGUUACCGACAGAAGAAGCACCGGCUAACUCCGUGCCAGCAGCCGCGGUAAUACGUAGGGCGCGAGCGUUGUCCGGAAUUAUUGGGCGUAAAGGGCUUGUAGGCGGCUUGUUGCGCCUGCUGUGAAAACGCGGGGCUUAACUUCGCGCGUGCAGUGGGUACGGGCAGGCUUGAGUGUGGUAGGGGUGACUGGAAUUCCAGGUGUAGCGGUGGAAUGCGCAGAUAUCUGGAGGAACACCGAUGGCGAAGGCAGGUCACUGGGCCAUUACUGACGCUGAGGAGCGAAAGCAUGGGUAGCGAACAGG
rnacentral:rRNA from 1 species